UGCUUGUUUGGGCAGCACUAUAUUAAAAUUGGAACAGUACAGAGAAGAUUGGCAUGGCCCCUGUGCAAGGAAGACAUGCAAAUUCAUGAAGUGUUCCAUAUUUUU
ensembl:snRNA U6 U6 spliceosomal RNA